GACGAACGCUGGCGGCGUGCCUAAUACAUGCAAGUAGAACGCACAGUUUAUACCGUAGCUUGCUACACCAUAGACUGUGAGUUGCGAACGGGUGAGUAACGCGUAGGUAACCUGCCUGGUAGCGGGGGAUAACUAUUGGAAACGAUAGCUAAUACCGCAUAAUAUUGAUUAUUGCAUGAUAAUUGAUUGAAAGAUGCUAUUGCAUCACUACCAGAUGGACCUGCGCUGUAUUAGCUAGUAGGUGAGGUAACGGCUCACCUAGGCGACGAUACAUAGCCGACCUGAGAGGGUGAUCGGCCACACUGGGACUGAGACACGGCCCAGACUCCUACGGGAGGCAGCAGUAGGGAAUCUUCGGCAAUGGACGAAAGUCUGACCGAGCAACGCCGCGUGAGUGAAGAAGGUUUUCGGAUCGUAAAGCUCUGUUGUAAGAGAAGAACGGGUGUGAGAGUGGAAAGUUCACACUGUGACGGUAUCUUACCAGAAAGGGACGGCUAACUACGUG
rnacentral:rRNA from 1 species